GAUGAACGCUAGCGGCAGGCCUAAUACAUGCAAGACGAACGGUAAGUUGAGUAGCAAUACUUAGCCAAGAGUGUCGUACGGGUGCGUAACACGUAUGCAACCUACCCUAUACAGGAGGAUAGCCUAGGGAAACCUGGAUUAACCCUUCAUAGUAUUAUUGGAUGGCAUCAUUUGAUAAUUAAAACUGAGGUGGUAUAGGAUGGGCAUGCGUCUGAUUAGUUAGUUGGCGGGGUAAUGGCCCACCAAGACGAUGAUCAGUAGGGGUUCUGAGAGGAAGAUCCCCCACACUGGCACUGAGAUACGGGCCAGACUCCUACGGGAGGCAGCAGUAGGGAAUAUUGGUCAAUGGAUGCAAGUCUGAACCAGCCAUGCCGCGUGCAGGAAGAAGGCCUUCUGGGUUGUAAACUGCUUUUGCCAGGGGGAUAAAAUUUCCAUGCGUGGAAAACUGAAGGUACCUGGUGAAUAAGCCACGGCUAACUACGUGCCAGCAGCCGCGGUAAU
rnacentral:rRNA from 1 species